rnacentral:lncRNA from 1 species
UCUCUAUUGUGUCUUAAAAUUUUGCAAAUCCCAUGACUUCUCACGAGGAUUACCCAGGCCUAGGUUUUGCUAAAUUGAAACACAGCGAGACAAUCUCUUUCUGAAGUUAAUCAAGAGUGAUCAAUCUCAUCUUGACUCACACACUGACUUCACAAGUACUUGAUUAUACCUAAAAAUCUUUGGAACCUAUAUUAAAAAUAAAGGCAGUCUGGCACCAAAGCACAGUGAGUUGUUUGCAAGUUAUCGUGGUGAUCUCAGGUCGGAGGGACACUUAUACCUAUUGAUCUUAGCUAACUACUCUUGACAGUAGAGUAUUACAUUAGUCAUGUUCAAUACAGAUGUACUCCUACAUCUCAUUGGAUGCCAUACCAGUGUCUCCACAUCACUGGUUACGAGGACACCAACGUAUAUGGCAUACAGCGAUCUACACUUGAUAAGUUAUCGUCCUUGUUAAUAACUUAUCAUUUGAUCAUGAACAGUUUAAGAACCAUCUGAUAAAUCCUCUUUUAUCGAUUGAUUGUGGUUUUAAGAACUUCAUCAUAAUUUAGAAGUCCAUUUAAGGAAGAUAGAACUUUUAUGA